GAGGAAUAUUGGUCAAUGGGCGCGAGCCUGAACCAGCCAAGUAGCGUGCAGGAUGACGGCCCUAUGGGUUGUAAACUGCUUUUGUAUGGGGAUAAAGUCAAUCACGUGUGAUUGUUUGCAGGUACCAUACGAAUAAGGACCGGCUAAUUCCGUGCCAGCAGCCGCGGUAAUACGGAAGGUCCGGGCGUUAUCCGGAUUUAUUGGGUUUAAAGGGAGCGUAGGCCGGAGAUUAAGUGUGUUGUGAAAUGUAGACGCUCAACGUCUGACUUGCAGCGCAUACUGGUUUUCCUGAGUACGCACAACGUUGGCGGAAUUCGUCGUGUAGCGGUGAAAUGCUUAGAUAUGACGAAGAACUCCGAUUGCGAAGGCAGCUGACGGGAGCGCAACUGACGCUUAAGCUCGAAGGUGCGGGUAUCGAACAGGAUUAGAUACCCUGGUAGUCCGCACAGUAAACGAUGGAUGCCCGCUGUUGGUACCUGGUAUCAGCGGCUAAGCGAAAGCAUUAAGCAUCCCACCUGGGGAGUACGCCGGCAACGGUG
rnacentral:rRNA from 1 species